GUCUGCGUGAAGGUAUAUGUAGUUUGGCCUGCUCAACUGAUUGUAUAAUUAAAGAGCCGCAGUAUAUUGACUGUGCGAAGGUAGCAUAAUAGGUUGUCUUUUAAAUGGAGGCUUGAAUGAAAGGUUGGACAAAAUAUCAUCUGUUUCUCUAGUAGAUCUUGAAUUUGACUUUCAAGUGAAAAGGCUUGAAUGGAUUAAAGGGACGAUAAGACCCUAUAAAUCUUUACAAAAAGAGUUUUUUAAGUUUUAUUUUGUAUGUAGAUGAAACAUAAAACGCUUUUUUGUUUCGCUGGGGCGGCGUAGAUAUAAAAUUUAACUGUUUAUUAGGUAAGGACAAUGAUUUUUGGUUAAUUAAAAUGAUCCUUUAGUUGGAUUAAAAGAUUAAGAUACUUUAGGGAUAACAGCGUUAUUUUUUUUGAGAGUUCCUAUCGAAGAAAAAGUUUGCGACCUCGAUGUUGAAUUAAGGUUUCUUUGUGGUGUAGCAGCUAUAAAAGAGAGUCUGUUCGACUUUUAAUACUUUACAUGAUUUGAGUUCAGACCGGCGUAAG
rnacentral:rRNA from 1 species